rnacentral:rRNA from 1 species
GAUGAACGCUAGCGGCAGGCCUAAUACAUGCAAGUCGAACGAGAUUGUUGUAGCAAUAUGACAUGAAAGUGGCGCACGGGUGCGUAACACGUAUGCAAUCUACCUUUGAUAGGGGAGUAGCUUCGAGAAAUCGGAAUUAAUACCCCAUAACAUAUUCGAGUGGCGUCACUUGAUUAUCAAACCUCCGGGGAUCAAAGAUGAGCAUGCGCAACAUUAGCUAGUUGGUGAGGUAACGGCUCACCAAGGCUACGAUGUUUAGGGGGUCUGAGAGGAUGAUCCCCCACACUGGUACUGAGACACGGACCAGACUCCUACGGGAGGCAGCAGUAGGGAAUAUUGGUCAAUGGAGGCAACUCUGAACCAGCCAUGCCGCGUGCAGGAUGACGGCCCUCUGGGUUGUAAACUGCUUUUAUACGGGAAGAGAAAGAGCUACGUGUAGCUUAUUGACGGUACCGUAAGAAUAAGGAUCGGCUAACUACGUGCCAGCAGCCGCGGUAAAAC